ensembl:lncRNA
UCUAUGGCUUCUACGUUACAUCAACCACAUGGUUGGUUACAUCAACAACACGUCCUGAAUAAAGUGAUCUCAUCAACAACACCACUUUUGCUGAAAUGGCACAAGAGGUUAAGGGUUAUGGGGAGCCUGGAGUCUAUCCCAGGGGACCGGGGCACAAGGCGGGGGACACCCUGGACAGGGUACCAACCCAUAGCUGGGCACAAUCGCACACACAUUCACACACUAUGGACAAUUUGGAAAUGCCAUUCAGUCUACAAUGCAUGUCUUUGGACUGGGGACUGGAGGAGGAAACCAGAGUACCUGGAGGGAGCUCCAAAAAGCAUGGGGAGAACACGCAAACUCUGCACACACAGGGUGGAGACUGGAUUCCAACCCCAAA